AAAUUGAAGAGUUUGAUCAUGGCUCAGAUUGAACGCUGGCGGCAGGCCUAACACAUGCAAGUCGAACGGUAGCACAGAGAGCUUGCUCUCGGGUGACGAGUGGCGGACGGGUGAGUAAUGUCUGGGAAACUGCCCGAUGGAGGGGGAUAACUACUGGAAACGGUAGCUAAUACCGCAUAACGUCGCAAGACCAAAGUGGGGGACCUUCGGGCCUCACACCAUCGGAUGUGCCCAGAUGGGAUUAGCUAGUAGGUGGGGUAACGGCUCACCUAGGCGACGAUCCCUAGCUGGUCUGAGAGGAUGACCAGCCACACUGGAACUGAGACACGGUCCAGACUCCUACGGGAGGCAGCAGUGGGGAAUAUUGCACAAUGGGCGCAAGCCUGAUGCAGCCAUGCCGCGUGUAUGAAGAAGGCCUUCGGGUUGUAAAGUACUUUCAGCGAGGAGGAAGGCGUUGUGGUUAAUAACCACAGCGAUUGACGUUACUCGCAGAAGAAGCACCGGCUAACUCCGUGCCAGCAGCCGCGGUAAUACGGAGGGUGCAAGCGUUAAUCGGAAUUACUGGGCGUAAAGCGCACGCAGGCGGUUUGUUAAGUCAGAUGUGAAAUCCCCGGGCUCAACCUGGGAACUGCAUUUGAAACUGGCAAGCUUGAGUCUCGUAGAGGGGGGUAGAAUUCCAGGUGUAGCGGUGAAAUGCGUAGAGAUCUGGAGGAAUACCGGUGGCGAAGGCGGCCCCCUGGACAAAGACUGACGCUCAGGUGCGAAAGCGUGGGGAGCAAACAGGAUUAGAUACCCUGGUAGUCCACGCCGUAAACGAUGUCUACUUGGAGGUUGUGCCCUUGAGGCGUGGCUUCCGGAGCUAACGCGUUAAGUAGACCGCCUGGGGAGUACGGCCGCAAGGUUAAAACUCAAAUGAAUUGACGGGGGCCCGCACAAGCGGUGGAGCAUGUGGUUUAAUUCGAUGCAACGCGAAGAACCUUACCUGGUCUUGACAUCCACGGAAGUUUUCAGAGAUGAGAAUGUGCCUUCGGGAACCGUGAGACAGGUGCUGCAUGGCUGUCGUCAGUUCGUGUUGUGAAAUGU
rnacentral:rRNA from 1 species